rnacentral:rRNA from 1 species
CGAAAGUUACGCUAAUACCGCAUACGAUCUAAGGAUGAAAGCAGGGGAUCGCAAGACCUUGUGCUCCUGGAGCGGCCGAUAUCUGAUUAGCUAGUUGGUGGGGUAAAGGCCCACCAAGGCAACGAUCAGUAGCUGGUCUGAGAGGACGACCAGCCACACUGGAACUGAGACACGGUCCAGACUCCUACGGGAGGCAGCAGUGGGGAAUUUUGGACAAUGGGGGCAACCCUGAUCCAGCAAUGCCGCGUGAGUGAAGAAGGCCUUCGGGUUGUAAAGCUCUUUUGUCAGGGAAGAAAAGGUUGCGGCUAAUAUCCGCAACUGCUGACGGUACCUGAAGAAUAAGCACCGGCUAACUACGUGCCAGCAGCCGCGGUAAUACGUAGGGUGCAAGCGUUAAUCGGAAUUACUGGGCGUAAAGCGUGCGCAGGCGGUUUCGUAAGUCUGUCGUGAAAUCCCCGGGCUUAACCUGGGAAUGGCGAUGGAGACUGCGAGGCUAGAGUUUGGCAGAGGGGGGUAGAAUUCCACGUGUAGCAGUGAAAUGCGUAGAGAUGUGGAGGAACACCGAUGGCGAAGGCAGCCCCCUGGGUCAAAACUGACGCUCAUGCACGAAAGCGUGGGGAGCAAACAGGAUUAGAUACCCUGGUAGUCCACGCCCUAAACGAUGUCUACUAGUUGUUGGGUCUUAAUUGACUUAGUAACGCAGCUAACGCGUGAAGUAGACCGCCUGGGGAGUACGGUCGCAAGAUUAAAACUCAAAGGAAUUGACGGGGACCC